AAUCAACGCUGGCGGCGUGCCUCAGACAUGCAAGUCGAACGCGAAAGUCCCCUUCGGGGGAUGAGUAGAGUGGCGCUCGGGUGAGUAACACGUAGGUAAUCUACCUUUGGGUGGGGAAUAACAGCCGGAAACGGCUGCUAAUACCGCAUAAUGCAGCGGCUCGACAUCGAGACAGUUGUUAAAGGCGGGGGAUUCCGAAAGGAACCUCGCGCCCAAAGAGGAGCCUGCGGCAGAUAGCUAGUUGGUAAGGUAAUGGCUUACCAAGGCUUCGAUCUGUAGCCGGCCUGAGAGGGCGGUCGGCCACACUGACACUUAAAUACGGGUCAGACUCC
rnacentral:rRNA from 1 species